rnacentral:rRNA from 1 species
GAUGAACGCUGGCGGCGUGCCUAAUACAUGCAAGUCGAGCGAAUGGAUUAAGAGCUUGCUCUUAUGAAGUUAGCGGCGGACGGGUGAGUAACACGUGGGUAACCUGCCCAUAAGACUGGGAUAACUCCGGGAAACCGGGGAUAAUACCGGAUAACAUUUUGAACCGCAUGGUUCGAAAUUGAAAGGCGGCUUCGGCUGUCACUUAUGGAUGGACCAGCGUCGCAUUAGCUAGUUGGUGAGGUAACGGCUCACAAAGGCAACGAUGCGUAGCCGACCUGAGGGGGUGAUCGGCCACACCGGGACUGAGACACGGCCCAGACUCCUACGGGAGGCAGCAGUAGGGAAUCUUCCGCAAUGGACGAAAGUCUGACGGGGCAACGCCGCGUGAGUGAUGAAGGCUUUCGGGUCGUAAAACUCUGUUGUUAGGGAAGAACAAGUGCUAGUUGAAUAAGCUGGCACCUUGACGGUACCUAACCAGAAAGCCACGGCUAACUACGUGCCAGCCGCCGCCGUAA